rnacentral:lncRNA from 1 species
CCCUCUCUUCCUAGGGGUCAUAGGUCUUAUCCCAGCCAUUGCACUUUGAGUGACUAGCACUUUUUCACUGUGCUCUGUUCUAUGGACCUGCUCUCUGGCACAUACCUCACUCACUGAGCCAUCUUGCUGCAGAAAAAGAGCUAAGCUUGGUAGAUCUCUUGAGAAUCUGGUCAAUGGCAAGGAAAAAUCUUGAGAUCCAUGCAGUGGGUUCUGAUCUCUUGCUCAGUACUAUGAUGGUUAAAAGAAAAACUCAAAGACAGAAAAACUAAAGAGACAGAGAUAUCGGGAGCCAGGAUGAUGAAC